rnacentral:rRNA from 1 species
UACGUAGGGCGCAAGCGUUAUCCGGAAUUAUUGGGCGUAAAGAGCUCGUAGGCGGUUUGUCGCGUCUGCCGUGAAAGUCCGGGGCUCAACUCCGGAUCUGCGGUGGGUACGGGCAGACUAGAGUGAUGUAGGGGAGACUGGAAUCCUGGUGUAGCGGUGAAAUGCGCAGAUAUCAGGAGGAACACCGAUGGCGAAGGCAGGCUCUGGGCAUUAACUGACGCUGAGACGCGAAGCGUGG